AUGCCCAGAAAAUAUGGUAAGCUAUGUUAACAAGCCAUAUUAGAUAUCAAGCAUUAAUAUGGAAAUAAACCAGCCCACCUGCACCCAGGUGAAAUAAACAGCUUUAUUGCUCACACAAAGCCUGUUUGGUGGUCUCUUCACAUGGACGCGCAUGAAAUUUGGUGCCGUGACUCGGAUCGGGGGACCUCCCUUGGGAGAUCAAUCCCCUGUCCUCCUGCUCUUUGCUCCGUGAGAAACAUCCACCUAUGGCCUCAGGUCCUCAGACCGACCAGCCCAAGAAACAUCUCACCAAUUUCAAAUCCGGCAUUGGGCUCUCACCAUUGGCCAAGAUUCCCUGCCCCGGUGAGGCCGGAAGCAGUUCAGACACCUGACUUCUGGCAACAUGUGAGCCUGACCCAAGCAGAUCACUGGUGACCAGUAAAUAUUGAAGCUCCAAGAGUAUUUUCCAAAAGAAGAGCAAGGGCCCGGCUGGAGGCUGACAGGCUUCCAAGAACCUGAAUCCCCUCUUGGACUCCUGGCUUGCUUUUGGCUACAGAAUCAUCAUCUGCAUCUGGAGAUUUCCACUGGGACUUUCUGGAGGCAGACAAAUCCUGCCCUGAUUCUGGGGACCAUGCCUGUGGAGAUGCACAGUUCUACCAUUCAAAAUGACUAUCUGAAAAUACCUCCUAAGAAGGACAAAACUUUUCUUCAGCCAAGAGGGCACUUGUUAAUAUGAUUAGAUACAUAUGUAAUGGUGUCCCCCUCCCCUCUUAGCCCCUCAGUGUGUGUUCUCUCAGUCAGUGUAUCUACAUGCAGGAGACAUUAAAGGAUGGAUGUAACUUCAGACCUUCAUUUCCCCAUAAGUAUUGCUUUCAGAGAAUAUCUAAUGAAGUCACAUGGAUGAAGAUUUCUGUAUCAUUUGUUUCCCAGAAUGGCUCUCCAACUUACAUUUCAUCAUCCACCCACAUAUCCACUUAUCCAUUCAACCUUCAUGUACUGACUGAAAACUCCUCUUAUAUAGUUUUCCUCAGCAGUUUCCUCUUCUGGGGAUUUUCUGCUGUUUUGGUAACCUGUUUUAAUGUUGUAUUUUAUGUGUUCCUAAGGGCAAUGCAAGUUGUUUAAAGAGGCAAUUAUCUCAUGUGAUUUAUGAGAUUUGCUGGACAAAUUCCAAUAAAAAAUGUACUUGAGAAGUAUGUCACAGGUUUAUUGCUGGUAUCAAUAAAGUCUCUAUAGUGUGUGGCAAUCCAUGUUUUAAAAGGAGUUAGCUUUGUGAUCAUAGAUUAUCAAAUCUAAUAUGCCACCAAUUAUAAGAUUUAUUCCAGUUUUUGAGAUGUAAAAAUGUAAAAAAUAAAGGUCAGCAAUUAUUUUAUAAUUUCAUGUAUUGUAAGAUAUAUGUAGAAUCAAAAGACGGUAAAAUGUGAAAUAAAGUGCACCUAAGAAUUGAUAAAAAAAAAAAAAAAAAAAAAAAAAAAA
rnacentral:lncRNA from 1 species